rnacentral:rRNA from 1 species
UACGGGGGGGGUAAGCGUUGUUCGGAAUUACUGGGCGUAAAGGGCUCGUAGGCGGCCAACUAAGUCAGACGUGAAAUCCCUCAGCUUAACUGGGGAACUGCGUCUGAUACUGGAUGGCUUGGAUUCGGGAGAGGAAUGCGGAAUUCCAGGUGUAGCGGUGAAAUGCGUAGAUAUCUGGAGGAACACCGGUGGCGAAGGCGGCAUUCUGGACCGAUAUUGACGCUGAGGAGCGAAAGCUAGGGGAGCAAACGGG